CCUACGGGUGGCAGCAGUGAGGAAUAUUGGUCAAUGGGCGCGAGCCUGAACCAGCCAAGUCGCGUGAGGGAUGACGGUCCUACGGAUUGUAAACCUCUUUUGCCGGGGAGCAAGCGUGCGUUCGUGGACGCGCGUCUAGAGUACCCGGAGAAAAAGCAUCGGCUAACUCCUUGCCAGCAGCCGCGGUAAUACGGAGGAUGCUAGCGUUAUCCGGAUUUUUUGGGGUUAAAGGGUGCGUAGGCGGGGUGCCAAGUCAGCGGUAAAAAUGCGGUGCUCAACGUCGUAGAGCCGUUGAAACUGGCGUUCUUGAGUGGGCGAGAGGUAUGCGGAAUGCGUGGUGUAGCGGUGAAAUGCAUAGAUAUCACGCAGAACUCCGAUUGCGAAGGCAGCAUGCCGGAUCCACACUGACGCUGAGGCACGAAAGCGUGGGUAUCGAACAGGAUUAGAUACCCUGGUAGUC
rnacentral:rRNA from 1 species